CUUCACUGUUGAUCAAGGAAUAAACAAAGAAGGGCUCACGCUCUAAAGACUCCUUCUCCCUGAGGGAAAGGAGGCCAGAAACUUAUAAGAGAAUACCAAGUAAACCAUGGAACUCCAGUCUUCUUUUCUGAAGAUUCAAGAGAAUGUUGAGCACCUUUUCAUGCACCUAUUGGACAUUUGUAUGUCUUUGGGAAAAUGCCAAUCAAGACACUCUGCUGCUGCUGCUGCUAAGUCACUUCAGUCGUGUCCAACUCUGAGCGACCCCAUAGAUGGCAGCCCACCAGGCUCCCCCGUCCCUGGGAUUCUCCAGGCAAGAACACUGGAGUGGGUUGCCAUUUCCUUCUCCAACACAUGAAAAUGAAAAGUGAAGUCGCUUGUGUCUAGACACUCUACCCAUUUUUAAUUAGAUCGUUUGGUUUUAUUAUUAUUGAGUUGUAUUGAAUUCUUUCUAUAUUUUGGAUAUUAACCUCUUAACAUAUGGGUAAUGGCAAAUAUUUU
ensembl:lncRNA